AGAGUUUGAUCCUGGCUCAGAUUGAACGCUGGCGGCAUGCCUUACACAUGCAAGUCGAACGGUAACGGGUCCUUCGGGAUGCCGACGAGUGGCGAACGGGUGAGUAAUAUAUCGGAACGUGCCCAGUAGUGGGGGAUAACUGCUCGAAAGAGCAGCUAAUACCGCAUACGACCUGAGGGUGAAAGGGGGGGAUCGCAAGACCUCUCGCUAUUGGAGCGGCCGAUAUCAGAUUAGCUAGUUGGUGGGGUAAAGGCCUACCAAGGCAACGAUCUGUAGUUGGUCUGAGAGGACGACCAGCCACACUGGGACUGAGACACGGCCCAGACUCCUACGGGAGGCAGCAGUGGGGAAUUUUGGACAAUGGGCGCAAGCCUGAUCCAGCAAUGCCGCGUGCAGGAAGAAGGCCUUCGGGUUGUAAGCUGCUUUUGUCAGGGAAGAAAUCUUCUGGGCUAAUACCCCGGGAGGAUGACGGUACCUGAAGAAUAAGCACCGGCUAACUACGUGCCAGCAGCCGCGGUAAUACGUAGGGUGCGAGCGUUAAUCGGAAUUACUGGGCGUAAAGCGUGCGCAGGCGGCUUUGCAAGACAGAUGUGAAAUCCCCGGGCUCAACCUGGGAACUGCAUUUGUGACUGCAAGGCUAGAGUACGGCAGAGGGGGAUGGAAUUCCGCGUGUAGCAGUGAAAUGCGUAGAUAUGCGGAGGAACACCAAUGGCGAAUGCAAUCCCCUGGGCCUGUACUGACGCUCAUGCACGAAAGCGU
rnacentral:rRNA from 1 species